UGAGUCCUUAUCUAAUCGGAAACACCACUGUUUUAUAGGCUAAUUAAGUAAGGUUAAUUCGGGAAGAAGGAAAACUUCGUGGCGUUUCAAUUAAAGUAGUAGGCUAAUUGAGCGAGAGAAAUCCAGUUCUUUUUUAUAUUUGGACCUUGGACUUCUCCUUUCGUACUUUUACUUCUUUUCUUUUUUGGUAAAAUUUAUUUUCAAUUAAAAAAUGCAAACCUCCUUCCAGAAGACGUUUACGUAUAGUCGUACUUGUAGUUUCUGUGUCUUGAAAGAUAGCUUUAGUCAUGGCGAAUCCUCUUCCGUUUAAGUCUUUCUUCUCAGUGUCUUCGCAACGAAGCUUCACCCCUGACAUAAACUGUUUUAUCUGUUAAUUUGAGCAGUCUUUUCAGGAGCAGCUGCCUAGAAGGGAUUUACGAAGGAUUUUCCAGAAUUACGAGUCAGCUCGAGCAGCGAUGACAACGAUCCUACGUUCGAAAGCCAAGGUGAAUGCAACGCAUCGGCACGCGUAUUUUAUGCGUGACGUAGGAUCGCACUGAAUGGACAGCCGCGGCGGAAAGGAUGCGGUUAACCUCGCUAGUUUCGUGUUUCCUACGAAGGUGAAACGUUGAUGCACACACGCGUGAUAUUUGCCGCAGAAAUCGUAACGCGAGGUGAAUUAAAGCCGCUCGUGAAACAUCAUUACCAUUUAUACUACGGAAGAUUUAAAAUUGAAAAUAGCCCUCCGAACAUGAAGAUGACUCACGAUCUUAAUAUCGUUCCAUGAAAACUCACAUAAAUUGGAUCGUAAAGCAACUUUACUCGAAGAUCAUUCGUUUUAAGCUAAUAGAAGCGAGUUCUUCUUCCCUUGUAACGAGCUACGCAAUAGAAAAUACGUUACUUUGAUGAAC